UGGCGGACGGGUGAGUAAUGUCUGGGAAACUGCCCGAUGGAGGGGGAUAACUACUGGAAACGGUAGCUAAUACCGCAUAACGUCGCGAGACCAAAGAGGGGGACCUUCGGGCCUCUUGCCAUCGGAUGUGCCCAGAUGGGAUUAGCUAGUAGGUGGGGUAACGGCUCACCUAGGCGACGAUCCCUAGCUGGUCUGAGAGGAUGACCAGCCACACUGGAACUGAGACACGGUCCAG
rnacentral:rRNA from 1 species